UUUUAAUUUCUACCCUCCACUGUUUUUAGAUUUUCCAUUGCCAAUAGCUAACUGCGAUGAUUUCAAACUUCAAUGCUUUCCGUUUACUCUUGCGGAUAUAUCUGAGGAGCAGUGCUCCGCUUCUCCAGGUUGUCAAUAUUGCGCUCUCGCUGAAGAUCCGCAAAAAAAGUGCAUUUGGGAUUCUUGUCCAGUUGGUUGGAAAAGGCGUUAUAAACUCGAUUGUUGUUGCGAAUUGCCUACUGCGAGAAUUGUGGGAGGAGUUCGAGAAGUUGAAGUGGCCUUGGAUGGUCCUAUGAAAAGUACAUGAUUCCCUUUGGCUCUGUGGAUAUUGAGGGAGCCAAUAUUAUAUCAAGAGAGGUCGAGUCAAGAGCUUCACCCAGGAUAUGAUCCAAAUACUGUAGCAAACGACACUGAACUAAUUAUACUUUCCGAACCAGUAAAGUUUCGAGAGAACGUUCAGUCAAUAGAUUUAUCUUAUGGUGAAGCUGUACCUGUUGGUCAGAGAUGUUUUGCACUAGGAUGGGGAGAAAGUAAGUUGCAAGUUUUAUUUACAUUUCAACGAUCGUGUACAAGUCGGAUUGAGUUUUCAUGUUGUCAAACGAAUCGUUUGAACACUGUUAUGAUAUACUCAAAACGUUAUCCACGUUGUUGCCUGGCAGAGAUUAUAUGAUCGACGGUGACGUUUUUGUGACAUUGAUUUUUAGCUGACACUGUAAAUAAGAACCAUGAUAAUUAGAGAGAAGGCGACGAUUGUUCCGAAAUCACCAGUAGACCUUUCCUAAUGUCUCGUUGGCGACCUUUAAACGCCAAUAUAUAAUGGUAGUUUGUUUGUUUGUACGUUGUUUACAUCUACGUCGGUGGAAAUUCAGUGCAGGUAGUAGCGACAAUCUUCCGUCGUGUUCCAGGUGUAGAUUUUUACCACCGAGAGUCUAUAUGUGUAGCCUACUUUGAUUUAGCAAACUGAAUUUUUGCGAAUAAUUUGUUGUUCACUGUCGACGCCAGUUUUCCAAACUAUAACUAAAUCGCCACAUUCGUUCUUGUCAUCCGCAAAAAGGUGUCGUGUGUGCACGAAAGUACUUGAAGGUAUAGAGCAGGGGUCGGGAACCUUUUUGGU